AACACUUUGAUCAGGUGGUCACAUUCAGAGCAGGAAUUCGGGGGCACGCCUACCAGAUAGUUAGAAAUUGUGAAAUUUCUUCUAAUAAAAGAUUGAACAACCAUGGAUCCCCUUUCUAGUGCCCAGGAUAUACCCCGAUGUGACCUUUGUGAGACCGCCAACGUACACAGCUACUGUGACUUUUGCCAUGUCAACCUCUGUAAGCCCUGUAUUGGAGAUCACAUCUCAGAUGGAUAUCAUAAACAUGAAAUAGUCCCUUUCCAGGAACGAAGAUCAACCCUCAUUUAUCCAAAAUGUGAAACACAUCCACAAAAAAAUUGUGAAUUUCAGUGUGAGGAUUGCGGAAACAUUUUUCUUUGUUCUUCCUGUACUGCAUCUAAGAGGCACAAGGGACAUAACUUUGUGGAGGUUACUGAAGUUUACAAGACAAAGAAAGAAGUUAUUAAAAAGGACACAAAAGACUUCGAAAAUCAUAUUUCCCCUAAGUAUGAAGAAAUUUCACGCGACUUAGAAAAUCAGCUUGCCAACCUGGAUGGAGGAUAUGAGAAACUUACAUCAGCAAUGUCCAAACAAGGAGAGCAAUGGCACAGAGAAAUCGACAUCAUCAUCAACAAAAUGAAAACUGAAAUUAGCGAGAUAAAAAAGAAACACAGAGACAUUUUACAGAAACACUUGAAUGAAAUCAAACAGAUACAGUCUCUCAUAAAAGAAACUUUACAAGCCAUAAGGAAAAUCGAGAAAUCCACUGAAGUAUCUUUAAUCAUUGAAUACAGCUCUAAGAUCAGAGAGUUCAGCAAGUUUCCACCCAAGGUUAAGGUGUCACUGCCAACAUUCAUUCCAAAACCUAUAGACCGUGAGAAGCUGUAUAGUUUGUUUGGACAGAUCACCCCAUUAUCUACUGCUACAGAAGAACAUGUUUUGUCACUAAACCAACCCAACACUUCAGUCAGAGAACUACUAGAUGAACCCGAGCUUGUUACCACAAUACAGACUGGGCAUGAAAAACUACGCAGUGUUGCCUGUCUGAAUGAGGACAGGAUAUGGAGGAGUGGAAUGACCAAUGAUAUCAAAUGCUUCAACAUUAAAGGUUCACUCCUCCAAACAAUCAAACAAAAAUCAGGGAAUUUCCCCAAUGAUAUAGCUGUAGACAGUAAUGGGGAUCUAAUUUAUACUAGUGGGGCAACAGGGACAGUGAAUCAAGUAAAGAAUGGACAGACAGAAGAGUUGAUCACAUUACCAGAGUGGACGCCUAAUAACCUGUGUGUCACCUCUAUUGGUGAUCUCCUGGUUACCAUGCACAGUGAUGACGAAACUCAAUCCAAAGUUGUCCGUUACUUGGGAUCUACAGAGAAACAAACCAUUCAAUUUGAUGAUGACGGUAAACCUCUGUACUCGGGGAAUGAUAGACUUAAAUACAUCACAGAGAACAGAAACCAUGACAUCUGUGUAGCUGACAGGGCGGCUGGUGCAGUAGUGGUGGUUAAUCAGGACGGGAAACUCAGAUGGAGAUACACUGGUCAUCCCUUAGUUACCAAGAACAAACCGUUUGAACCCUAUGGUAUCACAACAGACAGCCAGAGUCGUAUCCUGACAGCAGACGGUGCCAACCAUUGUAUCCACAUUCUGAAUCAGAAUGGACAGUUUCUACGUUACAUUGAUAACUGUGAUCUGGAGGAUCCUUAUGGUUUAUGUGUGGACAAUAAUGACAAUCUGUUUUUGUGCGAGUAUUGGAAAGGCCAUGUAAAGAAAGUCAAAUAUCUAAAGUAGACAUCAUCAAUUAUAAAAAUGUGAUGAAAAUCAAACAAAAGUGGCCUUUUUCUGACGUGUAUAUAAUGUAUAUUGAAUUUCAUUGUUGGCAUUUUCUAUGAAAUAGAUUUAAACUUUGCUUUCCUUUAUAUACUGAUGGAUUCAUCAAUUCUAUUCUGUCAUUAUAUUAUUAAUUUUAUUUUCAAAAAAAAAAUAUCUCU
rnacentral:misc_RNA from 1 species